AUUGAACGCUGGCGGCUUGCCUUACACAUGCAAGUCGAACGGCAGCACGGGAGCAAUCCUGGUGGCGAGUGGCGAACGGGUGAGUAAAGUAUCGGAACGUGCCCAGUCGUGGGGGAUAACGUAGCGAAAGUUACGCUAAUACCGCAUACGAUCUAUGGAUGAAAGCGGGGGAUCGCAAGACCUCGCGCGAUUGGAGCGGCCGAUAUCAGAUUAGGUAGUUGGCGGGGUAAAGGCUCACCAAGCCGACGAUCUGUAGCUGGUCUGAGAGGACGACCAGCCACACUGGGACUGAGACACGGCCCAGACUCCUACGGGAGGCAGCAGUGGGGAAUUUUGGACAAUGGGCGAAAGCCUGAUCCAGCCAUGCCGCGUGCAGGAUGAAGGCCUUCGGGUUGUAAACUGCUUUUGUACGGAACGAAAAGGUUUGGCCUAAUAAGCUGAGCUCAUGACGGUACCGUAAGAAUAAGCACCGGCUAACUACGUGCCAGCAGCCGCCGUAA
rnacentral:rRNA from 1 species